ACAUAUUCAUCAAAAAAAUCAUAAUUUAACUGUGAUAAAAAAUGUUUAACAGUAUAAAUUCAUUUGUUACAUUUGGAAUAAUAAUAUUUAUAAUUAAUUAUGCAAAAUCACACUGUGUUGAACAGUCAGCAUGUACUUGUUUGCGUGAUGACAAAAGAGGUUAUGAUUUGAGACCAUUGGCAGAUCAAGGUCCAUUUCAUAAUAAAAAAAAUAAUUUCACCUUUCAACCAUGCAGGAAUGUAGAUUUGACAUUCAAAAACUCGAAUGACAGCGACUGUCAAGAAUCAUCAAUUUGUUUGCUGAGUCGAUCAAAUCGGUCAAUAAGCUUGGGUAAAGCUGAAGAUUCAAUAUGGUCAUCUCCAUUGAACAAUAAAAAUGGUAUGCACUUGGUAUUUCACCACGAAAAUUACAUGACUAAAAUUAAAUUAGAAUGUUGCCAUGGUUGUGUGACGACGUUGGUAGAUCAAAAUUCUACUGAUACAGAAUAUAACUUGACGUUGACAUCAGAGAGUAACUGUCUAAUAACUAUGAGAAGAGGACUUUCAACAGGAUCUAUAUUAGUUAUUCUCUUGCUUGUUUUCACCGGAAUUUACUUUGCUAGCGGUGCUCUAGCAUUAAGGUUUUUACGAGGCGCUGUUGGAUUGGAAUUAAUUCCUAAUUAUGAAUUUUGGUCUGAUCUUCCUGGACUUGUUAGGGACGGAGUGACAUUUACACUUAGCGGUUGUUCGCCGGUAAGUUACGAAAGAAUAUAAAUUCUAUGAUAAAUAUCAUUUUCCUGUGCAGUGUAACUUGAGAGAAAUUGAAUCAUAAGUUGAAAAUUGAGAGCAGCCAUUCAAAAACUUCAAAUUUCUUUAAUAAAACUCUUUGCUGCUCGUGGUUUUAUUUAAAAUUAAGAGGAUGGUGUUGCCAGCUGCUGGGAACUGCAUUACACAAGGCAUUACCGUCCGCAAUCUUGUAAAAUUCAAAAGAACUAGUUUGAACAGCUCAGUACUUAAAGUCUUCUUGAAUACAAUAGAAGCAAGCAGUAAACCUUGGAUUGGUCGAACGCUUCCUAAGAAUUUUCUAUGUUAGUAACUUAAUACUUGAUAUAGAAGAAUAUAGAAGUUACUCACACGUCAUUGUACCACAUGAUAUUGAUUAACACAUUUUUACUUAAACGAAAAAAAAUUUUUUUCAUGUACUAGUGAAUGAUAUUUUUUUUCUUUUUUGAAAUAACCUUGUGAUUAAAUUGUCUUUACCAAGUUAAAA